AGAGUUUGAUCCUGGCUCAGGAUGAACGCUAGCUACAGGCUUAACACAUGCAAGUCGAGGGGCAGCAUUUCAGUUUGCUUGCAAACUGGAGAUGGCGACCGGCGCACGGGUGAGUAACACGUAUCCAACCUGCCGUCUACUCUUGGACAGCCUUCUGAAAGGAAGAUUAAUACAAGAUGGCAUCAUGAGUCCGCAUGUUCACAUGAUUAAAGGUAUUCCGGUAGACGAUGGGGAUGCGUUCCAUUAGAUAGUAGGCGGGGUAACGGCCCACCUAGUCUUCGAUGGAUAGGGGUUCUGAGAGGAAGGUCCCCCACAUUGGAACUGAGACACGGUCCAAACUCCUACGGGAGGCAGCAGUGAGGAAUAUUGGUCAAUGGGCGAUGGCCUGAACCAGCCAAGUAGCGUGAAGGAUGACUGCCCUAUGGGUUGUAAACUUCUUUUAUAAAGGAAUAAAGUCGGGUAUGCAUACCCGUUUGCAUGUACUUUAUGAAUAAGGAUCGGCUAACUCCGUGCCAGCAGCCGCGGUAAUACGGAGGAUCCGAGCGUUAUCCGGAUUUAUUGGGUUUAAAGGGAGCGUAGAUGGAUGUUUAAGUCAGUUGUGAAAGUUUGCGGCUCAACCGUAAAAUUGCAGUUGAUACUGGAUAUCUUGAGUGCAGUUGAGGCGGGCGGAAUUCGUGGUGUAGCGGUGAAAUGCUUAGAUAUCACGAAGAACUCCGAUUGCGAAGGCAGCCUGCUAAGCUGCAACUGACAUUGAGGCUCGAAAGUGUGGGUAUCAAACAGGAUUAGAUACCCUGGUAGUCCACACGGUAAACGAUGAAUACUCGCUGUUUGCGAUAUAC
rnacentral:rRNA from 1 species